rnacentral:rRNA from 1 species
AGAGUUUGAUCCUGGCUCAGGAUGAACGCUAGCUACAGGCUUAACACAUGCAAGUCGAGGGGAAACGACAUCGAAAGCUUGCUUUUGAUGGGCGUCGACCGGCGCACGGGUGAGUAACGCGUAUCCAACCUGCCCAUCACUUGGGAAUAACCUUGCGAAAGUAAGACUAAUACCCAAUGAUAUCCCACGAAGGCAUCCGAAUGGGAUUAAAGAUUUAUCGGUGAUGGAUGGGGAUGCGUCUGAUUAGCUUGUUGGCGGGGUAACGGCCCACCAAGGCAACGAUCAGUAGGGGUUCUGAGAGGAAGGUCCCCCACAUUGGAACUGAGACACGGUCCAAACUCCUACGGGAGGCAGCAGUGAGGAAUAUUGGUCAAUGGGCGAGAGCCUGAACCAGCCAAGUAGCGUGCAGGAUGACGGCCCUAUGGGUUGUAAACUGCUUUUAUAAGGGAAUAAAGUGAGUCUCGUGAGACUUUUUGCAUGUACCUUAUGAAUAAGGACCGGCUAAUUCCGUGCCAGCAGCCGCGGUAAUACGGAAGGUCCGGGCGUUAUCCGGAUUUAUUGGGUUUAAAGGGAGCGUAGGCCGGAGAUUAAAGCGUGUUGUGAAAUGUAGGGGCUCAACCUUUGCACUGCAGCGCGAACUGGUCUUUUUGAGUACGCACAACGUGGGGGGAAUUCGUGGUGUAAGCGGUGAAAUGCUUAGAUAUCACGAAGAACUCCGAUUGCGAAGGCAGCUCACGGGAGCGCAACUGACGCUGAAGCUCGAAAGUGCGGGUAUCGAACAGGAUUAGAUACCCUGGUAGUCCGCACGGUAAACGAUGGAUGCCCGCUGUUGGCCUGAAUAGGUCAGCGGCCAAGCGAAAGCAUUAAGCAUCCCACCUGGGGAGUACGCCGGCAACGGUGAAACUCAAAGGAAUUGACGGGGGCCCGCACAAGCGGAGGAACAUGUGGUUUAAUUCGAUGAUACGCGAGGAACCUUACCAGGGCUUGACAUGCAGAGGAUGGAUGUGGGGACAAGGACGCCCUUCGG